GAUGAACGCUGGCGGCGUGCCUAAUACAUGCAAGUCGAGCGAAUGGAUUAAGAGCUUGCUCUUAUGAAGUUAGCGGCGGACGGGUGAGUAACACGUGGGUAACCUGCCCAUAAGACUGGGAUAACUCCGGGAAACCGGGGCUAAUACCGGAUAACAUUUUGAACCGCAUGGUUCGAAAUUGAAAGGCGGCUUCGGCUGUCACUUAUGGAUGGACCCGCGUCGCAUUAGCUAGGUGGUGAGGUAACGGCUCACCAAGGCAACGAUGCGUAGCCGACCUGAGAGGGUGAUCGGCCACCCUGGGACUGGAACACGGCCCAGACUCCUACGGGAGGCAGCAGUAGGGAAUCUUCCGCAAUGGACGAAAGUCUGACGGAGCAACGCCGCGUGAGUGAUGAAGGCUUUCGGGUCGUAAAACUCUGUUGUUAGGGAAGAACAAGUGCUAGUUGAAUAAGCUGGCACCUUGACGGUACCUAACCAGAAAGCCACGGCUAACUACGUGCCAGCCGCCGCUGUAA
rnacentral:rRNA from 1 species